CUCCGCCCCUCAAAGUCCGCUCCUCUCGGUGGUUGGUCACGCUUGACAAGGCCCGGGCUCCACCCCCCUCUUUCCAAUUGGUGACAGGAUUCGCAACUCCGCCUCGUGCUUUUCCCCUGUUUUCCAUUGGUUCUAUACCGACAACCGGGCCCCCUUUUGCUUUGUUAGUAUUGGCCAAGAGCUGUAGAAGGCUAGCCACUUCACCUGCCUCCCAUUGGUGGAGCCUUCGGACACCUCCCAGCUACGAUGAUGUCACCUUUCUCCAGGUCCGGUGAGCCCUGAGUGGCUGGUGGCCAGCGGCCUCUCUACUCCUCCUGAGGUCUGGCAUUGGCUGGAAAUGGCUGGCCCCGGCGCUGGGUGGUGCUGAUUCACCGGCCGCGGGGGAGUUAGGCUCCGCCCGACCCCUCCUGGUCCUGCCUCUGACCUGUUGCGAGUCCUGUCUCUGGGGAAAACUUCGGGGAUCUGCCAAGUGUCCCUCGAAUGGAAGGCUGGCACCUCGCGUCACCUGGGAGCUCAUCCCCGCUCGGGUUCGGGACCGGAGCCUUUGGUCUGGUGGCUGUGACCCCGGAGGUCCCCGGCUUUUCCAGAAUCCGGCAGCCGUGAACCCCCAGCGCAUCCUCCCGGGAGGGAGAGCUUCAUCAGCAACCCAGCAAGUGGCCGGAAGCGCUGGAAUCCGGCUGCGGUACACGGAAUUGAGUUUCUCUCCGAAGGCGCUUACCUCCCCCGCCCUGCCCCGGGAGAGUGGUGGCAGAAUUACUCUUAUCACGCAAGUGGGUCUUAAGAGCUCAGAAAUUAAAGUUGAAGCUGAGUAAGCUGAACCCCAAGAUUCUUUGGCCUAAAGCUCUUUUAAGGUUUUCCCUUCCCUUUUAAUUCUAGAUAAAAACAGGAAGGCUACAGGAAGGUGUGUUUGUGUGAGGAGUGGUACCAAUAUAAAUGCUUACUAUAAUAUUAUGUAUAAAAACCAAAAGUUUAGGAUUGUUCCAUAAACCUCAUCAGAUUUUUUAAAUGAAAGCUCUCUGGAGACUCAAGUAAUGUACAUUGUUGCACAUACUGACAUUUCCAAUUUGAAAAUUAGAAAUAAAGUUAUUUAAGUUGGGAGUCCCCAAGG